UACAGAGGUCCCAAGCGUUGUUCGGAUUCAUUGGGCGUAAAGGGUGCGUAGGUGGCGCCGUAAGUCAGGUGUGGAAUCUCGGGGCUCAACCCCGAAACUGCACUUGAUACUGCGGUGCUCGAGUACUGGAGAGGAGAUUGGAAUUUACGGUGUAGCAGUGAAAUGCGUAGAUAUCGUAAGGAAGACCAGUGGCGAAGGCGAAUCUCUGGACAGUUACUGACACUGAGGCACGAAGGCCAGGGGAGCAAACGGG
rnacentral:rRNA from 1 species